rnacentral:tRNA from 1 species
GCCGUGGUGGCGCAAUGGUUAAGCGUUCAGCUGCUAACCGAAAGGUUGGUGGUUCAAACCCACCCAGCUGCU